rnacentral:lncRNA from 1 species
CCCAAGUGUCAGAAUUAUAGGUCUGUGUGCCUUCAUCCGGCUUCACCCUUUUGUUUUUGAGACAGGUUCUCACAGCUGGCCUGGAGCUGGUGGCUUUUCUGCUAUUCCAGGUGUGAGCUGCCAUGCCUGGGCCACCUCUAUGUUUGUACUGCAUUUCUUCUGGAUUCCUUUUCUUCUCGGAGCAGAUUCCAGUUGACGUUCAGAAGUCCUGAGAGGUAUUGGAAGCCCCUAAGGAAGAAUGGAACACGAUUAACAGCGGCCAAUGACUCAGCCUUUCGAGUAAUUCCCACCAAUGACAAGUGCCUCUUAGAGCCAUGUUGUCUAGUGAAUGUGAGCUAGAUGACAUCACAGACAUAAUCAUCAACAUUUCCAAAGUCCAAGCAGUCAAAUGAAGUAGAGAAGGUGAUGGGUGAUGUGAAGGAGGAAUUCAAUACCAAGAACUCCUCAGGAAAACCAGGCUGACACAUUGGAAAUAAGGGAGCAUAGACGUGGAAAAUCUUAGCAGUGGAAAGAACAAAAGAGAGGACAGAGUCUAAGCUUGAAGACAAAGUCAAGAACCGGAACAGAACAGCAAGAUCAAGAGGAGAUGAUAAAAGGUAUCAGCUGGGCUUGCAAGAUAUGCAGAGCAACCUGCAAAGUCCAGG